rnacentral:rRNA from 1 species
UACGGAGGGUGCGAGCGUUGUCCGGAAUCACUGGGCGUAAAGGGCGCGUAGGCGGCCGUGUAAGUCACUUGUGAAAUCCCGGGGCUCAACUCCGGGGCUGCAGGUGAGACUGCAUGGCUAGAGCUUGGUAGAGGCGAGUGGAAUUCCCGGUGUAGCGGUGGAAUGCGUAGAUAUCGGGAAGAACACCGGUGGCGAAGGCGGCUCGCUGGGCCAAUGCUGACGCUGAGGCGGCGAAAGCGUGGGGAGCAAACAGG